AGCGAACGUUAGCGGCGGGCCUAACACAUGCAAGUCGAGCGAGAAAGGGGCUUCGGCCCCGAGUAAAGCGGCGGACGGGUGAGGAACACGUAGGUAAUCUGCCCUUCGAUGGAGGACAACGGCCCGAAAGGACCGCUAAUACUGCAGACGUUCCCCGGGUGUCCGGUCCCGGGGAGGAAAGCCUCGCCAGGGGCGGCGGGAGAGGAGCCUGCGUCGCAUCAGCUAGUUGGUGGGGUAACAGCCUACCAAGGCGAAGACGCGUAGCUGGUCUGAGAGGAUGAUCAGCCACACUGGGACUGAGACACGGCCCAGACUCCUACGGGAGGCAGCAGUGGGGAAUAUUGGACAAUGGGGGGAACCCUGAUCCAGCCAUGCCGCGUGUGUGAAGAAGGCCUUAUGGUUGUAAAGCACUUUAAGCGAGGAGGAGGCUACUGAGACUAAUACUCUUGGAUAGUGGACGUUACUCGCAGAAUAAGCACCGGCUAACUCUGUGCCAGCCGCCGCGGUAAAAC
rnacentral:rRNA from 1 species